CCAAAUCAAGUCUCACACCUAGGUGCUUAAUUUUACACACCCGGGCCUGAUGAAGUGUCUUUCUGGAGAUCACAGGCGCUGCUGUGCCUCAUGUCCCGCCAGACUGGAAGCGCAGCCCUGCCUCGCCGUGCCUGCAGCGGUCACCUGAGGAGAAACCUCCGCGGUGGCAGCGAACAUCGCGGCGCGACAGUGCAGCUCGUGGGGCUGUGGGGACCUCUCGUGGUAAACAACAGACGAGCAAACUCCGGAGCUGUCCCCUGCUAUGGAGUAUUGGAAGUGCAGUGUUGAAAGCCAGAUGUUACGAAGGGCAGAGAGAAGCUGAAACUUAAGUGAACUGAUACACCCUGAAGAGAUGCCUGUUGGAUUCCAGAGAACUCCAGUUAGACCCAUAAAAGUAAGUGACUUAACAAAAUGCACAUACAUGAACUGAAUAUAUAUUCAAAGAAAUGAUAAGCUUAACUGCAUAACCUCUCUUUGCACUUAUCUUGCAAGCAUUUAAGUUUAUAAUAAACAAUGGGCAUUAUCAGAAACUUAGUUGCUGUUGUUGCCAACAGUCAGAAGUUUAAG
ensembl:lncRNA